rnacentral:rRNA from 1 species
GUCCACGCCGUAAACGAUGGGUGCUAGGUGUCGCGGGCUUUGACUCCCGCGGUGCCGUAGCUAACGCAUUAAGCACCCCGCCUGGGAAGUACGGCCGCAAGGCUAAAACUCAAAGGAAUUGACGGGGGCCCGCACAAGCGGUGGAGCAUGUGGUUUAAUUCGACGCAACGCGAAGAACCUUACCUGGGCUAGAAAAUGCAGGAACCUGGGAGAAGUCUCGGGGUGCCCUUCGGGGAGCCUGUAGUUAGGUGCUGCAUGGCUGUCGU